AUUCUUGUUCUGUUGAUUUGUGGAAUUUUUUGGUUCUAUUGAUUUGUGGAAUUUUUUGGUCCGAUUGUUGCCGAUGGUUUUGAUGAUGUUGUGGAUGAAGCUUUUGGAGAUGGUGCUGUUGCUGAAUUGGUGCAAGAAUAGAAGGUAGCAAACAUGAGUAGAAAGGGGGAUAAGGACAAUUGAACAUGCUUCAUUUUUUGUAUAGUUGGUAGUCAAAAGAUGAAAGUGAAUCAAUUUAGUUUUAUUCUUAUGAAUGAAAGGUAGUUAAUUUAGGAUAUAACUCAUCUAUCAUGGAGAUAAUAGAUCUUUCAUCUUAUUAUUUUUUUAACUAAUUCAAUUUUAUGCCAAACCUUGAUGGAUAUGCUCUAAAUUAUUGC